AACACAGAGGAAUUCUGCCUGGUCUUCGUUUCCAUAGUUAUAGGAAGAUCCAAUGCUGAUCAGCUGUGCAACAGGAGACAGCCAAGGGGCAGGUUUUUGGGCACCUCUCCACUCUGAGAUAGUUUUCAGGCAUUACAGAACAGAUCCAUAGGAACAACUGAUGGGAAGUGCUGUUCCUAAUCCUCUGCCUCACUUCAUGUCAGCACACUUCCCACAGCAUCCACCUGUACUGAAGCUGGACUAAAUAGGAAGACACAGCUGUAAUCCACAGACCCUAUACUGUAGUUUCUUAAUAUAACAGAACACAACACCCAGGCCUGCUGGCUCCAAUUCUCCCUCCUCAGAAAUAAGAGAACUGUGUUUGAUUCCAGAAACCAAAUGUGGAACUAACUAAUGCCAUAUGCAACUGCAGUGACACCCAGCCCUGGAACCAGCUGCACUGCAAGGGCAUCUGCAGAAACUUCUCAUGUCACUCUGAGCCUCUUUAGCAAAUGCAGCAGUCAUGGCUUUGAGGUUCCAAGAAAGUUGUGCUGUGCUUUUUCAUGGCUCUGGUAAUUUUCCUGAAUGUAACUGUUAUGCUGUGGCAUCGUGUAUGUGAUGAAAUGCAGGAGAAAGGAAGAACUGCUCUGGGAUUUGACAAGGAGACAAGAAGCCCUGAGAGAAAAUGAAAUCUCUCUGGCAGCUUGAGUGACUUCUGCUCUCCUGUGUAGGUAACUGGACACAAGUGAAUUGCUGCUCAGGUCAGGCUGCUUAUUCAGAAGAGCAGAGCAGUGUGAAGAGUAACUCAACAGGCAACUCUGCUUAUUCCACAUCCAGUUUUCAAAGGAAUUCUGCCAUUCUUUGGUAAUGGUACCUGUUCAAAUUUCCAUCCGUCGGACAUGGUGGACACCAUCUGUGUGAGCUCUUCCUCUUGGCACUGCAGCACUCUGUACACAUGUUUCACAGGUCCCUGGAGCACAGAGAACAAUUGUUAAGUGUAGUUUAGUAAUUGUUUUACUAGUAUCACUCUAUAAAAUUAAUAAGCAGCUCCAGCUCUCAUCUUAGGAACUCAGAGCCCCACAGGCUUUUUUAUCUCACCAAUUCCAAAACAGAACCAUAUGCCUGGCACUCUUCUCUUAAAAGCUUUCUAGGUAUCUAAGCUACAGUGAAAACAAAACUUCUUUAGCUUUCAAAGCCAUUUACUGCUUUUUGAAAACAUUUCUGAAAUUGGAUCUACUGGAUGUGCUGAUAUCAGCUGAGCAUCAACGGGAAACAUUUCACAGAGAGACAAAGGGAAGAAAUGGUUUAGAGAAGGAAGAGUUUGAGCUGUUCUUUGCCAAAACAGUAUGUUUUGCUUUAUAACCACCCAUUUCUGCUCCUGGCUCCUCUCCUGUAAGUGUCCCUUGCCUUUCCCUACAGUGCUGAGAUGACUCAGUGGUCUGUGCUUUAUAAAGCCAUACUGAGGACUCUUUGCUAGCCAUGCCCUGCAUCCACCUAACAGCAUUUAUUCCCCUGUUACUGCUGAACCAAGGAAAUGCUACUGCAAGGGCUGCAGCCGUGCAUGUCCUCCUGUGCCACCAAACUGACUCCGUAAGCCAGAGCUGCAUUACUUGAGAGGUUCUGUUCUCGUUGUCCCGUAUCCGCUCCUUCACCAGCCGCACCAGGGACGCGAUGUUGUAAAACUCAGCCUCUUCCAGCACCCCUGAAGAGGAACCCAAAGCACAGAUUCUGUUACUUUGCACAGGGUAGAAUGAAGAUGAUUCUGUCACAAGGAUGCAAACCUGCUGCUAACUCCAAAUCUAGCCCAGAUGUCAGAAUCCCAAAUGUGCCACCCACCUCCUGCUCUCAGGCUAGGAGAAAAUGCCUGACUAGCUGUCACCUCCUUUUGUGACUUAAGAGGAUCUUUAAGAAAAAUUAUUCCCCUUUCCCUGGAUUUAUCAGAAAAUCUCAUGGUACAAUGUGCAUUUCUUCACCCAGCCCCACCAAGGGAAAGCCCUCAGAGCUGCCUGUUUGGGAAGAACCAUGGUCUGUAGCAGACCUUGGGCUCAGAACAGUGACAGGGUGUGCUGUGAGCUGCAGCCUCUGCUUUCAGGAAGACACAGAAUCUGAUGACUUAAUCCCUUUCUAAUGAGCAAUUAACAGUACUAACAGCACUCCUGGGAAACUUGCUCACACCAGUGUAUGGUGAGGGCUCCUGGAUGUGCUAUCAAACAGCACUUCCAGCCUUUCCUGCUGUUUUUGUCUUACCUUCCUCUGCAAGCUCCUUGUUGAUGAUGAGCUUCCCGUGCCGGAGGUAGUUCAGAAUUGGACCAAAGUACGUGGGGUCUCUGUCAAUGAGAUAGGCCCCGGUCUCAUCCUGAGAGCAAAACAGGGACGGCUCAGUGGUACCAGGAAAAAAUCAUUUCAAUCUAACACAAUCAAGUGAACAGUUUCUCUUUGAGAACCUGGAUUCAUUUGCCUGUGGGAGGUGUACAAAUGAUGCUACAUUUAAGCCAUUUUUCUUUUUCAGUAUCUGAUCUAUGAACACAGCAGCCCCAGUAGGGCUGGCAGAUGCCUUACAUAAAGCACUUGUACACACAGGUUAUGGACCUGGAGAAAAAAGCUGGGAUUAGGAGAGCUUUUUCACUGCAGUAAGAACCAAAAUCUGGUAGUUGUGCUCUGGCUGAGCCUAUUCUCCAGACUAGUUUAACAAGGAAACUCUGGAGGAAAAUGGGAUCUCAAGUUCUAGCUAAGGGCACCUGACAGCCAAAACAGCUAUUUUGUUUUUCUCUUUCCACUACUGCAAACACUCAUUGCAAUUGUCCAGCCAUGUGUCCAGCAAUACAACAACUACUGGCAUUAAAUAAUCAUCAACUGACAGCCAAAAGCAUCUCCUGGGCAGCUUUGAAGCACAAGCCCUGUGCAGAACUCUCACAUCCUUCUCUUAAGGACUUUGAAGCAUUGUUCCUCCUGCCAAUCUACUCUAAAGCAAUAAAAAACCGUGUAAACCCACUCUGAAAUAUCUCCUCUCCUCACUGACGCUAUUGACCGAUAUUUCAAUCACAACCAGGAUUUAUCUUGUGAAUAAACUCUGAAUGAAGCAGCAACAGACUCGACUAAUUCUGGCUGACCCACUCCCAACAUAUUUACAACGCCUUGUGCAGCUGAUCCUAUGGAAAAUCUGCAAUAUCGAGAAUAAUUGUUUGCAAAAUCCUUACAGAAAACUGCAGCGACUUCAAAACUGUCCAGCCAUGCAAGGAAUGUGCAUCAUGAUCUUUGCUGAGAGUGAAAUAUAUUAAAAACCAAACCAACAGCAAACAUGCUCAGGAUGAGAAAUUGUAACAUUCCCGUUUCUAGGAGUUUCCUUCCCUACUGUAACUACCGGGGGAAUGUGGGUUGCUCCUUGAGCGCGGCCCAUGGGAGCAGGAGGGAUCGGAACCUGCGGCAUCUGGGUGUCACAGGUCCUGUUCCUGGGGGUGCCGCCACCUCCCUGACCGUGCGACACGAGGGACAAGCCGCUGCUGUAUCCGAGUGACGUGCUCCAAGCCGUGGGACACCGGCUCAUUCCCAGCCCGGGCCCGGGGCCGUGCAGGAGCUCGGGGGCAGCGGCAGCCGGGGGUGCCCCCCGCCAGUGGGACAAACCGGGGCACCCCGGUGACACCAGCGACUCAAGGAGGGGCUGUCCCGGUACGGGGGUCCCGGCCCCGCCGCGGCCUCACCUUGUCGGAGCCGAGCUCGGGCCCGUCCUGGCAGCAGAGGCGGCACAGGAAGGACUUGGGCUCCCGGCACAGCGUUUGCCGGGUGCUCACGAAGUACGUGCCGCCCACGUUCAGCCGCACCCACUUGGAGGCGGCGGC